rnacentral:rRNA from 1 species
AUGGGAAGAGAAAUUACUGGCUCACAUGCCUGAAGAGUGUGAGGUGAUGCAUAAUGUUGGCUCAAGGAUGUGAAGAGGGCCUGGUGUUUCUCUCACCGUUGCCAUCUCUACUUCUUAGCUCCCUUAGCUCCAUCUCAUUUCCUUAGUAACGUAGCUAACGCGUGAAGUUGACCGCCUGGGGAGUACGGCCGCAAGAUUAAAACUCAAAGGAAUUGACGGGGACCCGCACAAGCGGUGGAUGAUGUGGAUUAAUUCGAUGCAACGCGAAAACCUUACCUACCCUUGACAUGGCCGGAAUCCUGAAGAGAUUCGGGAGUGCUCGAAAGAGAACCGGCGCACAGGUGCUGCAUGGCUGUCGUCAGCUCGUGUCGUGAGAUGUUGGGUUAAGUCCCGCAACGAGCGCAACCCUUGUCCUUAGUUGCUAC